ACUGCUCAGUAACACGUGGAUAACCUGCCCUUGGGUCCGGCAUAACCCCGGGAAACUGGGGAUAAUUCCGGAUAACGCACAUAUGCUGGAAUGCUUUAUGCGUAAAAUGGAUUCGUCUGCCCAAGGAUGGGUCUGCGGCCUAUCAGGUAGUAGUGGGUGUAAUGUACCUACUAGCCAACAACGGGUACGGGUUGUGAGAGCAAGAGCCCGGAGAUGGAUUCUGAGACAUGAAUCCAGGCCCUACGGGGCGCAGCAGGCGCGAAAACUUUACAAUGCGGGAAACCGUGAUAAGGGGACACCGAGUGCCAGCAUCAUAUGCUGGCUGUCCAGGUGUGUAAAAUACACCUGUCAGCAAGGGCCGGGCAAGACCGGUGCCAGCCGCCGCGGUAACACCGGCGGCCCGGGUGGUGAUCGUGAUUAUUGGGUCUAAAGGGUCCGUAGCCGGUUUGGUCAGUCCUCCGGGAAAUCUGACGGCUCAACCGUUAGGCUUUCGGGGGAUACUGCCAGGCUUGGAACCGGGAGAGGUAAGAGGUACUACAGGGGUAGGAGUGAAAUCUUGUAAUCCCUGUGAGACCACCUGUGGCGAAGGCGUCUUACCAGAACGGGUUCGACGGUGAGGGACGAAAGCUGGGGGCACGAACCGGAUUAGAUACCCGGGUAGUCCCAGCCGUAAACGAUGCUCGCUAGGUGUCAGGCAUGGCGCGACCGUGUCUGGUGCCGCAGGGAAGCCGUGAAGCGAGCCACCUGGGAAGUACGGCCGCAAGGCUGAAACUUAAAGGAAUUGGCGGGGGAGCAC
rnacentral:rRNA from 1 species